CGUUAGCGUUCAAACUCAUACACGAAGCAUAAAUGAUGAUUCGUGCUCGUUUUGCACUUGUUUCCACAGCGAAAUUCCGCAGAAUGCGUCGUCAUUUCACUAAACAGUGUUUAACAGGUUUUCUUCUGGUGAAUUGCAAGUUUUGUAAACUUCAACUCCUGAAAACAUAGAAACUCACCCGAAAUAGUUACGUAACACGAAUGCCACAUAUCGAUCAUUUGCGGCAAGGAUUUCCACCCGUCCUUGACCUAAACAACUCGCGGCCCAGUUAUGCGUGGGUGUUUGUUCGACCGCCGCCCCCACACUUUCCCGCCAGGCACGAAUAUCUUGCGCAUAAUAGAAAUAAAUAUUGAUAUUUUGACAAAAGCGUUAUUUCAACAUAGGCAACCAAAUAUACACCAAUGUCAAUUUUAUACUUCUGAACUCAUUUCAACAUUUAAAAAUGUGAUUAAUAAAGUUUAUGCCUGGUUUUAUGUGGUUAAUUGCUUUAAUGUAUCCCAAAGUGUUCACAUCGAGCUAAAUCAAGCUAAACACGUCUAGUUUAUUCCGCAAAAACUGCUUCCUUUCG